rnacentral:lncRNA from 1 species
AAGGGAAUGUUUACGUGGAGCUCAUAGGUGUGAAAAACAGCUCAUACAUAUGUUGUCUAAUCGAGCCAUGGAUCCAAAGGAACUCAACAUGUAAUUAAAUCAAGAUGUGCAUGUGUGGUGGAGUAAAUGAUAGUAAUGGUGAAAAUAUAAGUAAUGAUAAAACUUACUUCUCAUUGCUCCUCAUAUUGCUAUCUCUCCUCCUCUUUGAUCUUUGCUUUGGGAGAACAUAGGCUAUCUUUUUCUUCUUUUUUUCAGGUGGGUAACGAAUACCCCUAAUUCUACUGUCGGACAUUUGUCCAUUUUUUCGCUCAAGUGGGCAUCAUUGUACCCCUAAUUCUACUCCGGACACUUGUCCAUUUUUACCUCUCGUCUCGCUCUUUUUCUUUCUUUUUCGAGGUUCCGGGCACUUGCCCCUUUUUAUUUCCUCGCAUAUUUUUGCAUAACCCAUGCCUCUUCUACAUUGAAUCUUUUUAGAGAGAGAGAAUAACAACACUUGGGACAGUGAGUGAUAAUAUUUUUAGCAAUUUUAAUGAAUGAUGGUGGAUGGUGUAGUAGAUGUGUGCAGGUGAAUAUCUUAAUUUAACCACAUGAAAAGGUCCUAAGGGUCUACACAGCUCGAUCAAAGUCAAUGUGAAUAUAAGUAGCAAAAGAUGUAGAAAUUAUAGCAAGUAUGGCUGUGGUAGGAAUUUUGUCAUGCUAGGAACUCAUCAUGUGAUCUUCAAGUUUUUAAAAUAAAUCUCCAGAACUUAGUGUAGUAGAAACAAGAUAAACAGC